rnacentral:rRNA from 1 species
AUAUUGCACAAUGGGCGCAAGCCUGAUGCAGCCAUGCCGCGUGUAUGAAGAAGGCCUUCGGGUUGUAAAGUACUUUCAGCGGGGAGGAAGGGGUUGUGGUUAAUAACCGCAGCCAUUGACGUUACCCGCAGAAGAAGCACCGGCUAACUCCGUGCCAGCAGUCGCGGUGAUACGGAGGGUGCAAGCGUUAAUCGGAAUUACUGGGCGUAAAGCGCACGCAGGCGGCGGGGCAAGUCGGAUGUGAAAUCCCCGGGCUCAACCCGGGAACUGCAUUAGAAACUGGAAUGCUAGAGUCUUGUAGAGGGGGGUAGAAUUCCAGGUGUAGCGGUGAAAUGAGUAGAGAUCUGGAGGAAUACCGGUGGCGAAGGCGGCCCCCUGGACAAAGACUGACGCUCAGGUGCGAAAGCGUGGGGAGCAAAC